GGCGUCAGGACGAACGCUGGCGGCGUGCUUAACACAUGCAAGUCGAACGAUGAAGCUGGAGCUUGCUCCAGUGGAUUAGUGGCGAACGGGUGAGUAACACGUGAGCAAUCUGCCCUUGACUCUGGGAUAACUGCGGGAAACUGUAGCUAAUACCGGAUACGACACCUUGGGGCAUCCCGAGGUGUGGAAAGAAUUUCGGUCAAGGAUGAGCUCGCGGCCUAUCAGCUAGUUGGUGAGGUGAUGGCUCACCAAGGCGACGACGGGUAGCCGGCCUGAGAGGGUGACCGGCCACACUGGAACUGAGAUACGGUCCAGACUCCUACGGGAGGCAGCAGUGGGGAAUAUUGCACAAUGGGCGCAAGCCUGAUCCAGCAAUGCCGCGUGAGUGAUGAAGGCCUUAGGGUUGUAAAGCUCUUUUACCCGAGAUGAUAAUGACAGUAUCGGGAGAAUAAGCUCCGGCUAACUCCGUG
rnacentral:rRNA from 1 species